AUUGAACGCUGGCGGCAGGCUUAACACAUGCAAGUCGAACGAGCGGCGGACGGGUGAGUAAUGUAUGGGGAUCUGCCUGAUGGCGGGGGAUAACUACUGGAAACGGUAGCGAAUACCGCAUACCAUCAGAUGAACCCAUAUGGGAUUAGCUUGUAGGUGAGGUAACGGCUCACCUAGGCGACGAUCUCUAGCUGGUCUGAGAGGAUGACCAGCAACACUGGGACUGAGCCACGGCCCAGGCUCCUACGGGAGGCUGCAGGUGAGAAUAUUGCACAAUGGGGGCAACCCUGACGGAGCCAUGCCGCGUGAAUGAAGAAGGCCUUCGGGUUGUAAAGUUCUUUCGGUAGCGAGGCGUUAACUACAGAAGAAGCACCGGCUAACUCCGUGCCAGCAGCCGCGGUAAUAC
rnacentral:rRNA from 1 species